rfam:Beta vulgaris subsp. vulgaris Bvchr2.sca016.con0025.1, whole genome shotgun sequence.
CUGACAUGUCUGCGAGUCAACGGGGGAGUAAACCCGUACGACGCAAGGAAGCUAAUUGGCGGGAUCCCCUAGCGGGUGCACCGCCGACCGACCUUGAUCUUUUGAGAAGGCUUCGAGUGUGAGCAUACCUGUCGUGACCUGAAAGAUGGUGAACUAUGCCUGAGCGGGGCGAAGCCAGAGGAAACUCUGGUGGAGGCCCGAAGCAAUACUGACGUGCAAAUCGUUCGUCUGACUUGGGUAUAGGGGGAAAGACUAAUCGAACCGUCUAGUAGCUGG